rnacentral:rRNA from 1 species
GAGUUUGAUCAUGGCUCAGGAUGAACGCUGACAGAAUGCUUAACACAUGCAAGUCUACUUGAUCCUUCGGGUGAAGGUGGCGGACGGGUGAGUAACGCGUAGAGAACUUGCCUUACAGACUGGGACAACAUUUGGAAACGAAUGCUAAUACCGGAUAUUAUGAUUGGGUCGCAUGAUCUGGUUAUGAAAGCUAUAUGCGCUGUGAGAGAGCUUUGCGUCCCAUUAGUUAGUUGGUGAGGUAACGGCUCACCAAGACGAUGAUGGGUAGCCGGCCUGAGAGGGUGAACGGCCACAAGGGGACUGAGACACGGCCCUUACUCCUACGGGAGGCAGCAGUGGGGAAUAUUGGACAAUGGACCAAAAGUCUGAUCCAGCAAUUCUGUGUGCACGAUGAAGUUUUUCGGAAUGUAAAGUGCUUUCAGUUGGGAAGAAGUCAGUGACGGUACCAACAGAAGAAGCGACGGCUAAAUACGUGCCAGCAGCCGCGGUAAUACGUAUGUCGCAAGCGUUAUCCGGAUUUAUUGGGCGUAAAGCGCGUCUAGGCGGCUUAGUAAGUCUGAUGUGAAAAUGCGGGGCUCAACCCCGUAUUGCGUUGGAAACUGCUAAACUAGAGUACUGGAGAGGUAGGCGGAACUACAAGUGUAGAGGUGAAAUUCGUAGAUAUUUGUAGGAAUGCCGAUGGGGAAGCCAGCCUACUGGACAGAUACUGACGCUAAAGCGCGAAAGCGUGGGUAGCAAACAGGAUUAGAUACCCUGGUAGUCCACGCCGU